CCCCGCUUUAACUAAUCAAAGUAGAAAAAUAAAUUUAAAUUUAAAUAAUUUCUGUAACGAAAUAAACUGUCAGAUAUUCUCAAAUGAAUCCAAGUAGCAUAUCAUUUUUCAUUCCAAAUCAGAAUCCCAGCCAUGCCGAAUAUUAAAGUUAAAGAGUUGGGCCAAUGGAUCUACAAAAUCUAUCGCUAUCUGUGGCUAUUAUCCGUACUGAUAAUACCGUGUAUGGCCCUAAAAUUCAAGGUGUCCGAACCCAGCACACUGGAGUGCUACAUUUUUGGGUUUGGGUCCAUAGCAGUGGGCGCCAUUCAGUUGAUAGAGACCCAACUACUUACCCGACGACAUCGCUAGGAUGUGGUAACUGGCGGGCCGGCCAGAUUGUUGGCGAGACUGUUGGCCGCCAAGCCGACCAGACAUAACGUCAAGCUGCACACGAUCCGCUGCCACAUUUUUGCACUACAACCGUAUACUCCGAUGUGGCCUCCGAUUAUGUAUACUAUAUGUUGGUAUAUACAGUGUGUAUGUAUAUAUUACACGAUCUUUUGUUUAAUCGUCUGGCCAAUUAUGUAUUAAAAUAUGCAAUUGCAUGGACAAAAGCA